CUCGCUUUGGUUCCAAACAAUAAAUGUAAAAAUAGCUUUCCUAUGUUGGGGAAAUUCCAUGAUGUCAGGAAACGGUUUAGGAAUGUGAGAAGAAAGAACAAUGAAUGUCUUUGUUUACAAUUGUGGAAAUGUGUGUAAAUAAAUAUAAGUAAUGAACUUGUGAAGUGAACCGGAAAUGGCAAUGGAAUCUCUUGGACUAAUACUUAUGAUACCGUUUUGUGUAUGUUUUAUUUUACUUUUUGUUGUAUGCUGCUUUGCAGAACAACUUAAACGAAUGUGUCGAAUGCCAAGUCAGUUGCCUCGCAGUCAAACUGACACUAGAAGGCGUAGAAAUCGCCGUAGCAGACGAUUAUAUGACUUAUCAGGUCCCCCCGAAGAAGGGAGACGACCCACUGAGGAAGACGUAGAAGCCUUACUUAGAAGUCGAAGACGGACAGAAUCCGGUGAUUCUACGGACACUCAGUCCUGUCCAUGUAAUGUGGUCAUCAUUACAAACGAAAGUGGCAUGACAUCAUACGUUGAAUCUCAAAGUUUUCUAAAUUUGGCGGGAUUAUCAGCUUCACAAACAUUGCAGCUGUCUGGACCUUUAAGUAUCUCGCAGACUGUGAUAACAAAUGUAGCGCAAAAUGCCGGAGAGUCAUACGGUUCAGCACGGUCAUUGGGUCAAUCGAAUCUAUCAUUUACUGUUAUUGAACAUCAUCAGUCUCAAACUGAACAAAAUCAAAGUCAAAGUUGACGAAGAUACUUAAAGAAGUCUGUGAUAGUAGUGAGAAUAUAUUGUGUGUUCAGUUAGACACAUGAACAUAACGCUUUAAAUGGAGUAUAACUGUGUGUUUAGAAAGCCAUAUGAACAUAAUGUUUUACAGAGAAUCUAUACUGUUCUUAGUUGAACAAAUGAACAUAAUCUUAAAUAAGUUGAUUUGAAUUUUAUUUUUAUUUGAAUUGAACAAAACGCUUGAAACAUUACUUACAAAGGGCAUCUUAAACACUAGAUGGUCAUAUGAACAUAAUGUUUUACUGUACUGUUGAACAAUGAACAAAACAUACUUUAGUAACUUGAAUUAAAAUUUGAGUUUAUUUGAAUUGAACAAAAUACUUUAAACGUUAUUUGCAAUGAACAUCUUAAGGGCAUACAAUACAGAUACAGGGGAGGUAAUGACGUUGCUAACGUAAAAUAUUAUUUUUCGCGACGUCAAACUGUUCCAUAUCGAGAAAAGAUGCAUUUUUCGACUGAUUUUUAUUAUUGAAACUGAUAUAACUGAAAAACGAGUUCAUGGACCCCUCUUUUUAUGACUCUUGGCUUGAUUAUGUAUGAAGAUUAUGUGUGCCAAUUUUUAUGAACAUUUCACCGAUGAUUUUUUUUAAAAUUAGAUAAAUAUACAGCCAAAAAUGCCGUGUUUUGACUAAAAUCAUGAAAAUGAGAUAAAAUGACUUAUUUCUAAAGAAUUGUUACACAAAUUCAAAACAUACUUUUGUAGAGAAGAUAUUCCAGAUGUUUUUACAAAAAUCCUCUUGCGUUUAUCUUUUGAAACAAAAAGUUAGGUAUGACUUUUAUAAGGACAGACAAAUGUCCAAGAAACCGAAAUGUCCAGUAAAUGUCUAAAAUUUCGAUCUCAUUUAUCUCUAAAAAUACCACAUGAAGGUAUAUUUUUUAUUACAUUUUUGAAUUGCCUAGGUGAAAAAAGCUUGUAUGCAAACUUUCUCCAAAAAUUCACUCUGGGAUCAAAACUGUAUCGUAUGCCCUUAAACACUAGUUAGUUGAAUUGAAUUUUGUGUUUAUUUGAAUGGGUGAAAAUACCUUAAACAAUACUUGCGAAUGGCAUCUUGAGCAUUAGUUAGUUGAAUUGAAUUUUGUGUUUAUUUGAAUUGGACAUAAAACAUUAAACAAUACUUUCCAAGGGCAUCUUGAACACUAGUUAGUUGAAUUGAAUUUUGUGUUUAUUUGAAUUGACUAAAAUACUUUAAACAAUAUUUGUCAUGGGCAUCUUGGACACUGUAAAAAGGUCUUACAGAAGGGUUAUCCGUGCAAAACUUCAGAUUAGCAAAGCCUAGACUCUAAUCCCAUGUAAAAUUAUCGUGUGUUUUUAUUUUUGCUGAAUUUGAUUUUAAGAUAAAAUCACCAAAAAUAUCCCAUUGCCUAAAUUGGUUUUCAAUGUAUAUUAGAAUCAGGGAGAAGAAAAGCGCUAAAAUAAGACGUUUGAACAUAUAAAUGCAGCAAUUUAAGCUCCAAGAAAAUAAACAGGUUUACUGAGCAUCUUGUUUACACCUUACUACUGUAUUUGUACUACCGGAGCCUCAGUGUAUGAUUAAUCGAGGUAUUUCACCGAUUGUUGCAAUGUGUGUGUGACUCCUAUCUUAGUAGUUUAGGAUUGCCAGAUUUUUCACAUGUGAUUGUAAAAAUUUGGAAUGAAAGGGUAUCAGACACCAAAAUCUUCAAAUUUAGUGUAAGAGGAAAGAAAAAUAAGUCGAACAAAGUUUGAUAAAAAAAAUUGUUUAUGCUUGAUGAUGUCUUUUCAAUACAGAUUUGAGAUUUUUACUCGAAAUUGGGCAAAAGCUAUAAAAUUAUAUUUCAAGGACAUGUAUUAGGAGAUAUAACAUUUCAAACUACAUACAUGAAUCUGUGAUGUUAAUGUUAAAGUUUUAAAGACUUUUUAAAAAUGACAAUAUUUAUAAAUAUCUGCAAAUUUUUUAAAGUUAUAUUUAUAAAAUUUUCUUACCUGUAUUUAUAUACACCUUUUAUAGAAAAAUUUGAACCUACAAAUAUAUCUGCUACACUUGUAAUUAUUAAGAAGUGCCAUAUUUGAAACAAGUGCUAAAUAUUGUAUUUUUACAUAAUUUUUUACUGUAGAAUAUAAUUGAAAUCAUCAUGCAUUGUCAUUUUAAACAUUUUAGCAAUUAAAUCUUACAAUUUGAAAGGAUUCAAACAAAUGCAGAGGUAGAGAAGUUAAAAGCAGCAUCCAUUUAACUUUCUUGCUUCAUAACAGAAACCCCUGUUUUAGAUAUAUAUUUAGUUUCUUAGUCAGUGCCGAUACAGUGUGCUAAAUGAUUUCAUUUACACCAUAAAAAUUGGUGGUGCUCCUAAGAAAGGAGACUUAUACAGAGCAUAAAUAUAUAAUAAGAAUAUGAGUAAAAGCAUUAUUAUACAUUACUUAUAUUUUGUUCAAAGAGGCAUUUGAUAUUAUAAGAAUAUGAGUUAAUUUAUAAUUGACCUACUAUUUUCAAGCAAGUUUUUCAAUAAUUCAUUUUAUUUUACAAAGAAAAAUUAAAGCAGGCAUGACUUAUACAUAUUUUAUCAUUUAUUGUAAUUUUGUUUCAUCUUUGUACAUUGUUGUAAAAGUAUCCUUUGUUUUAAUUUGUAUAUUCUUUCCCUCACCAAGAAAUAUGCUGUCUGAGUGGAUUUUUUCGCUAAAAUGUCGUAUCAAUUAGCUAAAAUGUCAUCCAUCGUUGUUAACGUAGUUUUACAAACUUCAAUCAACCAAUCAAUCUAUUGAUGUUUUAUUUGAACAAGCUUAGUAGUUAAUUAAUAUUGCAUGGGUAUACCGUAAUGGCAUUGAUUGAAAAUCUGUGUUAUUUUCUGUUAAAUCUAUUGUGUAUUUUUUUCUAGACUGUUGAAUUAAGGAUAUUGUAUAAAAAUUUCUGUUAUGUUAAAUACUGUAUGUGGACCUCUUGUGUCAUUGGGGUGCCAUCUCAUUGACGUAGAUCACAUAUCUUUUCUUCCAAAUUUUGAUGUCAAUAGAUACAAAAAUAUACUGGUAAUUUUAGCAAUACUAUAACAAAUGCCCAUAUGAAGGCCCAUACUUUUAGUAUAAAAUAUUUUCCAGGGUACAUUUAGAAACUUUUCAGGGUAUCAUUAAGUUUUUCAAUAUUUGAGGGCACUGUUUCAUAUUAUGUGGGUAUAUGUUUAACCUAGCAUUUUUUUCAUUGUUAUAUUUUAUUAGUAUUAUUGCAUCACAUUUUAAAGUUUAUUACCUACACUGGAGCUUAUGUGGAUUAUGUCAUUUCCGCCUGUCCUCUCUGGGUGGGUUAUUUCUGCCAUCUUAAAUUCAACCUUACAUAUUUACAAUUCUUAUGAUAAAGGAAAGGGAAUGGCAUGCGAUGACAGAUUUCGUACAUUAAUUUUGGUCACCCUGUGGCCCCUUCCACCGAGGAAAAGCAAACAUAUCAAAAUCCACCUAAGCUGUAGUGUAAUUGAAGAUCAAUAUAAUUGUAUAUUGUAUUCAUGCUUACAAUACUCUUUUUCAAGGUAAUAUUAGAACAGUUGUUUAGUGAGUUUUAAAUGCUCAUAGUGGGAAAGCUAAGAUAAUCAUGUCUUUGAAAGUAUUUGUACUACUUAAAAGUUUCAUAAAAUUAUAUGUCAUUCAUCUGAUUCAUUGAGGUUGUGAGUUCGAACCCCGCACGUGAAAGGUGCGUUCAACUCUGAUCUCAAUUGACUAUGAUCUCCAGUUUUCCUGCCGAGGGUCGGUGGUUGUCUCAGGGCAAUCUGGCUUCCUCCACCAAUUAAAACUGACCUCCACGAUUUAGCCAAUAGUGCUAAAAGUGUCGGAAAACACAAACAAUCAAUCAACUGAUUCUUAAACAUUUUUUUCUUUAUUUACUUAUAUCGAGUAAACGAGCUUUUCGUUUGUUGUUCAGUAUAUAGACGCAAAUAAGAAAAUCCUACAUCAUUAUCAUUAUUUAUAAGUGCAUACUUUUACCCCGAGGGCUCGAGUACGUGGUUUUGUGACAUAACAAUAAAACAGCUGCAUAAAAAAGUUGGAUUUAUUCCUGAUUAUAGAUAAAAAGAGAUAAUAUCAAUCCCAAAAUGUUUGUAAUGGCAAAGUAGUUUUUUUUUUCAAAGCAAAAUUAUGAUAAAGUAAGUUCACAAAAAACAAUCCUUUCAGGAAAUUAAGCAAUGUGGAUUUUGCUCUUGUUUUCUGAUUUGCAUCUACAAUGUGACGUUACUUAAUAGCUUUGAAAGUACAAUCCAUCAGUAGGUGUUUUAGUCUGUAGUAAAUCAAGCUGAAAUAACCAAGUUUGUGUUUUUAUGUAUAUUUGUGUUAUCAAACUUGAAUGUUUUAAUAUUUUUUGUGUAAUGAAUAAAAUAUCAACUCUUGCAA